UACGUAGGCAGCGAGCGUUGUUCGGAGUUACUGGGCGUAAAGAGUGCGUAGGCGGUUUUCUAAGUUUGGUGUGAAAUCUCCCGGCUACAACUGGGAGGGUGCGCCGAAGACUGGAAGGCUUGAGUAUGGGAGAGGUAAGCGGAAUUCCUGGUGUAGCGGUGAAAUGACUUAGAUAUGACAUAGAACACCAAUUGUGAAGGCAGCUCACUAAGCAAAUAUUGACGCUGAGGCACGAAAGCGUGGGGAUCAAACAGG
rnacentral:rRNA from 1 species